rnacentral:rRNA from 1 species
CAGUCGCCACGGUAAUACGUAGGUGGCAAGCGUUGUCCGGAAUUAUUGGGCGUAAAGGGCUCGCAGGCGGUUUCUUAAGUCUGAUGUGAAAACCCCCGGCUCAACCGGGGAGGGUCAUUGGAAACUGGGAAACUUGAGUGCAGAAGAGGAGAGUGGAAUUCCACGUGUAGCGGUGAAAUGCGUAGAGAUGUGGAGGAACACCAGUGGCGAAGGCGACUCUCUGGUCUGUAACUGACGCUGAGGAGCGAAAGCGUGGGGAGCGAACAGGAUUAGAUACCCCUGUAGUCCCUGUCUCUUAUAC